rnacentral:rRNA from 1 species
GAUCAUGGCUCAGGAUGAACGCUGGCGGCGUGCUUAAUACAUGCAAGUCGAACGAAGACAUCUCGCCGAAGCUUGCUUCAUUGAGAUAUCUUAGUGGCGGACGGGUGAGUAACGCGUGGGUAACCUGCCUUACACAGGGGGAUAACAGUUAGAAAUGACUGCUAAUACCGCAUAAGCGCACAUUAUCGCAUGAUAGAGUGUGAAAAGAUUUAUCGGUGUAAGAUGGACCCGCGUCUGAUUAGCUAGUUGGUGAGGUAACGGCCCACCAAGGCGACGAUCAGUAGCCGGCCUGAGAGGGUGAACGGCCACAUUGGGACUGAGACACGGCCCAAACUCCUACGGGAGGCAGCAGUAGGGAAUAUUGGACAAUGGGGGAAACCCUGAUCCCAGCGACGCCGCGUGAGUGAAGAAGUAUUUCGGUACGUAAAGCUCUAUCAGCAGGGAAGAAAAUGACGGUACCUGACUAAGAAGCACCGGCUAAAUACGUGCCAGCCGCCGC